rnacentral:rRNA from 1 species
CGCAUCUGUGCAUGCAGCAUAUCAAUAAGCGGAGGAAAAGAAACUAACAAGGAUUCCCCUAGUAACGGCGAGUGAAGCGGGAAGAGCUCAAAUUUGAAAUCUUAAAGGGUUUCCCUUUACGAAUUGUAGUUUAAAGAAGUGUUUUCUGUUGAGGUUUUGGUAAAAGUUCUUUGGAAUAGGACAUCAUAGAGGGUGAGAAUCCCGUAUUUGACCAUUACUUUCAACUUUGUGAUACACUUUCAAAGAGUCGGAUUGUUUGGGAAUGCAGUCCAAAAUGGGUGGUAAAUUUCAUCUAAAGCUAAAUAUUGGCGAGAGACCGAUAGCGAACAAGUACCGUGAGGGAAAGAUGAAAAGAACUUUGAAAAGAGAGUUAAACAGUACGUGAAAUUGUCAAAAGGGAAGCGUUUGACACCAGUGUUGUUUUUCUGAAAAUCAAUUAAAGAACUGUGUAUGCUAAGUUGUUUAGACUUUAUCAGCUAUCUGUCUAGUUUUGAGCUUUUCUUUAAUGCACUUUUCAGUUAACAAGUCAACAUCAAUUUCUUUUGCUGUAAAAAAGCUUGAGGAAGGUGGCUUGAGAUUCGUCUUAAGUGUUUAUAGCCUCUUGCCUAUGCAGUCGGAGAGAUUGAGGUCUGCAGCGUAGAUCCUUCGGGGUUAGAUAGCAUUUGUGCUAAGUUAUAGCAUUUUAUAGACAACUUGUUGACUAUGAUUUGUCUUGUAGCUUACUCGCUUAUGUUAUUUUACCUACGCUUAGGAUGUUGACGAGACUGUCGAUCUC